AUACGUAGGUGGCAAGCGUUAUCCGGAAUUAUUGGGCGUAAAGAGUGAGCAGGCGACAGCAAGGGUCUGUGGUGAAAGCCUGAAGCUUAACUUCAGUAAGCCAUAGAAACCAGGCAGCUAGAGUGCAGGAGAGGAUCGUGGAAUUCCAUGUGUAGCGGUGAAAUGCGUAGAUAUAUGGAGGAACACCAGUGGCGAAGGCGACGAUCUGGCCUGCAACUGACGCUCAGUCCCGAAAGCGUGGGGAGCAAAUAGGAUUAGAUACCCUAGUAGUCCACGCCGUAAACGAUGAGUACUAAGUGUUGGAUGUCAAAGUUCAGUGCUGCAGUUAACGCAAUAAGUACUCCGCCUGAGUAGUACGUUCGCAAGAAUGAAACUCAAAUGAAUUGGCGGGG
rnacentral:rRNA from 1 species